CAGCACCCCUGUGAGGCAGACUGCUACUUCCUGGAGGGAGCCGAGUGAGGCUAGGCAGAGACAAAGCAUCUGUGAACAGUGGAGUGAGGCAGAUUCACAGCUUGACUGCCUCCCUUCCCGCCUUCCCAGGUCUUUUCCCUCGCCCCAUGAACCAUGAGAAGAGGACAUUUUCUGCAGCCCACACCCACACCUGGUCCAAUCUCAGGAAGAGAAGGGAAUGACGUACCCACCCAGAAGAGCAAUUCGGAGGUUCUGGCGGAAGACAGGGUUCAAGAUGAGGCCCUGGAGUCCACCGGGGAGCAGCUGGGUAUGCCAAAUACGGAGGCCACUCAACAGGCCCGGUACUUUCCUCCUGAGCCCUGGACGGAAGCAGAGUUGGGUGAGGUGUCAUGAUAGAAAGGAGACCUCCAGGGAGCUCUCUCUCCCCCAAUGGCAGUCCCUUGGAACAGUGUUGCAGAGGGAAGCAACAUGCACUGGAAGGGGUCCUAUGAAGCCUGGGACAGCCUCGACCUUACAAUGUAUAAACUUGCAAUGUAACCUUACAAUCUACUGUUUCCUGUCUCUACC
rnacentral:lncRNA from 1 species